UGCCUCCUCAAUUGCAAGUCGCUUUGAAUAAAAGCGUCUGCUAAAUGACUAAAU
rfam:Danio rerio chromosome 24, GRCz11 reference primary assembly.